UACAGAGGGUGCAAGCGUUGUUCGGAAUCAUUGGGCGUAAAGGGCGUGUAGGCGGUUUGUUAAGUCAUGUGUGAAAUCCCUCGGCUCAACCGGGGAACGACGCAUGAAACUGGCAAGCUAGAGUACCAAAGAGGGGGGUGGAAUUCCCGGUGUAGCAGUGAAAUGCGUAGAUAUCGGGAGGAAUACCGAUGGCGAAGGCAGGUCUCUGGGCUGACACUGACGCUCAUGCACGAAAGCGUGGGGAGCAAACAGG
rnacentral:rRNA from 1 species